rnacentral:rRNA from 1 species
GAGAGUUUGAUCCUGGCUCAGGACGAACGCUGGCGGCACGCUUAACACAUGCAAGUCGAACGAGAGAAGAGGAGCUUGCUUUUCUGAUCUAGUGGCGGACGGGUGAGUAACACGUGAGCAAUCUGCCUUUCAGAGGGGGAUACCGAUUGGAAACGAUCGUUAAUACCGCAUAACAUAAUUGAACCGCAUGAUUUGAUUAUCAAAGAUUUAUCGCUGAAAGAUGAGCUCGCGUCUGAUUAGCUAGUUGGUAAGGUAACGGCUUACCAAGGCGACGAUCAGUAGCCGGACUGAGAGGUUGAUCGGCCACAUUGGGACUGAGACACGGCCCAGACUCCUACGGGAGGCAGCAGUGGGGAAUAUUGCACAAUGGAGGAAACUCUGAUGCAGCGAUGCCGCGCGAGGGAAGAAGGUUUUAGGAUUGUAAACCUCUGUCUUCAGGGACGAAAAAAGACGGUACCUGAGGAGGAAGCUCCGGCUAACUACGUGCCAGCAGCCGCGGUAAUACGUAGGGAGCGAGCGUUGUCCGGAAUUACUGGGUGUAAAGGGAGCGUAGGCGGGAUCGCAAGUCAGAUGUGAAAACUAUGGGCUUAACCCAUAAACUGCAUUUGAAACUGUGGUUCUUGAGUGAAGUAGAGGUAAGCGGAAUUCCUAGUGUAGCGGUGAAAUGCGUAGAUAUUAGGAGGAACAUCAGUGGCGAAGGCGGCUUACUGGGCUUUAACUGACGCUGAGGCUCGAAAGCGUGGGGAGCAAACAGGAUUAGAUACCCUGGUAGUCCACGCCGUAAACGAUGAUUACUAGGUGUGGGGGGACUGACCCCUUCCGUGCCGCAGCAAACGCAAUAAGUAAUCCACCUGGGGAGUACGACCGCAAGGUUGAAACUCAAAGGAAUUGACGGGGGCCCGCACAAGCAGUGGAGCAUGUGGAUUAAUUCGAAGCAACGCGAAGAACCUUACCAGGUCUUGACAUCGUAUGCAUAGCUCAGAGAUGAGUGAAAUCUCUUCGGAGACAUAUAGACAGGUGGUGCAUGGUUGUCGUCAGCUCGUGUCGUGAGAUGUUGGGUUAAGUCCCGCAACGAGCGCAACCCUUACUGUUAGUUGCUACGCAAGAGCACUCUAGCAGGACUGCCGUUGACAAAACGGAGGAAGGUGGGGAUGACGUCAAAUCAUCAUGCCCCUUAUGACCUGGGCCUCACACGUACUACAAUGGCUGUAAACAGAGGGAUGCAAAGCCGCGAGGUGGAGCGAACCCCUAAAAGCAGUCUUAGUUCGGAUUGUAGGCUGCAACCCGCCUACAUGAAGUCGGAAUUGCUAGUAAUCGCAGAUCAGCAUGCUGCGGUGAAUACGUUCCCGGGCCUUGUACACACCGCCCGUCACGCCAUGGGAGUCGGUAACACCCGAAGCCUGUAGUCUAACCGCAAGGAGGACGCAGUCGAAGGUGGGAUUGAUGACUGGGGUGAAGUCGUAACAAGGUAGCCG